AUACGUAGGUGACAAGCGUUAUCCGGAUUUACUGGGCGUAAAGGGCGUGUAGGCGGUCUUGCAAGUCAGAAGUGAAAUUCCUGAGCUCAACUCGGGCGCUGCUUCUGAAACUGCAGGACUUGAGUGCUGGAGGGGAUAGCGGAAUUCCUAGUGGAGCGGUAAAAUGCGGAGAUAUUAGGAAGGAAACCGGUGGCGAAGGCGGAUAUCUGGACAGUACCUGACGCGGAGGCGCGAAAGCGUGGGGAGCAAACAAGAUUAAAUACCCUGAUGGUCCACGCCGUAAACGAUGAAUACUAGGUGUAGAGGGUAUCGACUCCCUCUGGGCCGCAGUUAACACAAUAAGUAUUCCGCCUGGGGAGUACGGCCGCAAGGUCGAAACUCAAAUGAAUUGACGGGG
rnacentral:rRNA from 1 species